rnacentral:rRNA from 1 species
GAUGAACGCUGACAGAAUGCUUAACACAUGCAAGUCUACUUGAAUUUGGGUUUUUUACCUUCGAUUUGGGUGGCGGACGGGUGAGUAACGCGUAAAGAACUUGCCUCACAGUUAGGGACAACAUUUGGAAACGAAUGCUAAUACCUGAUAUUAUGAAUAUAUGGCAUCAUAUAAUUAUGAAAGCUAUAAGCGCUGUGAGAGAGCUUUGCGUCCCAUUAGCUAGUUGGAGAGGUAACGGCUCACCAAGGCGAUGAUGGGUAGCCGGCCUGAGAGGGUGAACGGCCACAAGGGAACUGAGACACGGCCCUUACUCCUACGGGAGGCAGCAGUGGGGAAUAUUGGACAAUGGACCAAGAGUCUGAUCCAGCAAUUCUGUGUGCACGAUGACGUUUUUCGGAAUGUAAAGUGCUUUCAGUUGGGAAGAAAAAAAUGACGGUACCAACAGAAGAAGUGACGGCUAAAUACGUG